rnacentral:misc_RNA from 1 species
GAUGAAGAACGUAGCGAAAUGCGAUAAGUAAUGCGAAUUGCAGAAUUUCCGUGAAUCAUCGAAUCUUUGAACGCACAUUGCGCCCGCCAGCAUUCUGGCGGGCAUGCCUGUUCGAGCGUCAUUUCAACCCUCGACCUCCCCUUGGGGAAGUCGGCGUUGGGGACCGGCAGCAUACCGCCGGCCCCGAAAUGGAGUGGCGGCCCGUCCGCGGCGACCUCUGCGUAGUAAUCCAACCUCGCACCGGAACCCCGACGUGGCCACGCCGUAAAACCCCCAACUUUCUGAACGUUGACCUCGGAUCAGGUAGGAAUACCCGCUGAACUUAAGCAUAUCAAUAAGCGGAGGA